UCAGCUCUGCGAGGGUGUUAUUUUAAAACUGGACGCCCGUCAUGGCGGAGCCACCGAGCAGCGACGGUUCGCCGUGUAAUCCGUGAAAAACGAAGCUCCGGCACAAGAGAAAGUCGCGCGCGGGGAUUUCUUCGUGGUUUUUUUCGUCCCACCACGUCAAGCCUGUAACAGAUGUCGCUGCCGGUGUCUUGCUGUCCGGUCGUCGGGGCUCCGCCGCUCGGCGAGCCGCCUUACCAAAAUCGACCGCGUGGGUCCGUAAUCACAGAAUCGAGAGAAUCUGGCCAGAAAUCAACAACCGGGUUAACUAGAACUUGAAAGCUGCAUUGGUCCAACUGGUGGAUCAGGAGGAGCUGGACAUGGAGGACCAGAUGACUCGGUUCUGUGUGUCAUCUUUGACAUGCCAGUUGGCCCAGAUCGGUGUUAACCGAACUGUGCAAGCAUGGAAUGCACACAGGAUUCCUGGGAGGGGGAUACCAAAUUACUUGGCCAGAGAUGGAUGCCCAAAUAAGCUGUCGACAGACCUUUUGCCAAAUGCAUCUGUGGCUGCAGACUGGUACGACCAGGAAGUGGGCUCACUGACACGAGUGUCAGACUUUGGCACCAACCCAUUUCCAAGUUUACAGGACCAGGAAGCUGCAGUGAGUGAAUUUGCUCUGCAGUGCCCUGAUACAAGUGUACUGCUGGACAAUGCAGUGAAUAAUCUGCCACAACCGUUCAAAGAUGGACUCAAAGGCCUCAUCGACAUCUCAAGGAGAAAUUGUCAACGCUGAUGUUUUUUUGUGUGUCUAAGUUGUUAUUGUCUGUGCUUGUUAAUUAAUUGGUUCAACUGACGGGAUG